AGGGGUAUAGCUUAGUAGUAGAGCAUUCGAAUAAAGAUCGAGAGGUCACCGGUUCAAACCAGGGUGCCCCCU